UACGAAGGGGGCUAGCGUUGUUCGGAAUCACUGGGCGUAAAGCGCACGUAGGCGGAUUGUUAAGUCGGGGGUGAAAUCCUGAGGCUCAACCUCAGAACUGCCUUCGAUACUGGCAAUCUCGAGUCCGGAAGAGGUUGGUGGAACAGCUAGUGUAGAGGUGAAAUUCGUAGAUAUUAGGAAGAACACCAGUGGCGAAGGCGGCUCACUGGUCCGGUACUGACGCUGAGGCGCGAAAGCGUGGGGAGCAAACAGG
rnacentral:rRNA from 1 species